rnacentral:rRNA from 1 species
CCUAGCCCUAAACACAGACGGUUACACACACAACCCUCGCCAGAGAACUACAAGCGAAAAGCUUAAAACUCAAAGGACUUGGCGGUGCUCCACAUCACCCUAGAGGAGCCUGUCCUAUAAUCGAUACUCCACGUUCUACCCCACCAUCCUUUGCAAUUCAGCCUAUAUACCGCCGUCGUCAGCUUACCCUGUGAAAGAAAUAAAGUAGGCAAAAAAGUUAACAACUAACACGUCAGGUCAAGGUGUAGCACACAAGAUGGAAGAGAUGGGCUACAUUUUCUACCAUAGAAAACACGAAAAGUGUAAUGAAAUAUAUACCCAAAGGCGGAUUUAGCAGUAAGACAAAUUAGAGACUUUAUCUUAAACUUGCUCUGGAGCGCGCACACACCGCCCGUCA